rnacentral:rRNA from 1 species
AUUGAACGCUGGCGGCAUGCCUUACACAUGCAAGUCGAACGCGAAAGGGGGCAACCCCAAGUAGAGUGGCGAACGGGUGAGUAAUGCAUCGGAACGUAUCCUAUAGUGGGGGACAACCUCGAGAAAUCGAGGCUAAUACCGCAUACGACCCACGGGUGAAAGCGGGGGACCGCAAGGCCUCGCGCUACUGGAGCGGCCGAUGUCCGAUUAGCUAGUUGGUGGGGUAAAAGCCCACCAAGGCGACGACCGGUAGCUGGUCUGAGAGGACGACCAGCCACACUGGGACUGAGACACGGCCCAGACUCCUACGGGAGGCAGCAGUGGGGAAUUUUGGACAAUGGGGGCAACCCUGAUCCAGCCAUGCCGCGUGCGGGAAGAAGGCCUUCGGGUUGUAAACCGCUUUCGGCCGGAACGAAAUCGCCGGGGACAACACCCCCGGUGGAUGACGGUACCGGAAGAAGAAGCACCGGCUAACUACGUGCCAGCAGCCGCGGUAAUAC